UCAGUUGAUAGAGUGGCUGCUUAGCAUGA
rnacentral:piRNA from 1 species